UCCAGGGAGCUGCUGAAGCUGAGAACCAAAAUCAGGAAAGAAGAAAACCUUUCUCAUGUGACAUCUGUAAAAAGCGUUUGUCUUUCAAAUCUGUGUUUGAUGCUCAUAUGAGAACUCAUACGGGUGAAAAGCCGUUUUCAUGUGUGACCUGUGGAAAAAGUUUUGGUGUAAAACGGAUUUUAACUCGGCACAUGAUGAUUCACACAGGUGAAAAGCCAUAUACAUGUAUGAACUGUGGAAAAAUCUUUAGUCGCAAAGAUAGUUUGACUCUCCACAUGAGGCGUCACACAGGUGAAAAGCCGUUUUCAUGUGUGACCUGUGGAGAAAGUUUUCGUCACAAGGUGAGUUUAAUUCACCACUUGAGGCGUCACACAGGUGAAAAGCAGUAGAAGUAUUUUCCAUACAUGUUCUAUGUUGAGGUUCACUAUAGAACUGAUU